ACUGUCAGGGUGAGAGGCAAGAGGGCAGGGAACGGGGGUCAGAUAAUAGUGAGGGUGAAGAGGCACAGGAAUGCAGUGGACUGGGAGGCCCUGCAGCCAGUGUUGCAGUGACUGGGGGCAAUGCAGAGGCCGAGGUGGGAAGGAGUGGUGGGGCUGUCCCCCGUCACUAAGGGAUUGUGGUCAAUGUGGGACGUUAUGCGGUUGCAGGUUGGGGUGGGGGGUCUGGAAGGAACCUGCGACGGUGGAAGAGAGGUGGGAAGUCAUGGUACCAUGGGGGCUGCAGAAAGCUGUACUGCGUGCUAUGCAUGGCCCUGCGGGGUCGAGGAACUUCAAGGUGUGAAGGCUGAGAUUGUACUGACUGAGUCUGAACCAGCGGUGAAGAGACCAGGAGAAUCACACAGACUGACAUGUACAGCAUCUGGCUUCACAUUCAGUAGCUAUGGCAUGCACUGGGUCAGACAGGCUACUGGAAAGGGACUGGAGUGGAUCGCUACUAUUAUCAAUGACGGUAGCAGCACCUGGUACUCCCAGUCCGUUCAGGGCAGAUUCACCAUCUCCAGAGACAACAGCAAGAACAAGGUGUAUUUACAGAUGAACAGCCUGAAAGCUGAAGACACGGCUGUGUACUACUGUGCCAGACACUCACAGUGAUGGGGGCUGUGGGGAAGCCGUACAAAUACUACUUCCUCAUAGAGAAUAAGGAUGUCUUAGUGUCUAAUUUAAUCAAAUUCAGAUCUCUCUUCACUUAUAAAUUUACAAAUAUAAAUUAGCACUGUCGCCUCACACCUCUAGGACCCGGGUUCGAGUCCCCGCCUGGGUUAUAUGUGCGUGGAGUUUGCAAUGUUCUCCCCAUGUCGUCGUGGGGUUUCCUCCGGGUACUCCGUUUUCCCCCCGCAGUCCAAAAACAUGCUGAGGCUAAUUG